rnacentral:rRNA from 1 species
CUGCGGACGGCUCAGUAAAUCAGUUAUAAUCUGCUCGAUUGUAAAGGUUAUUGGAUAACCGUGGGAAAUCUAGAGCUAAUGCAUGUAGUUUGUGAGUGCUUGCACUCAUGGCAUUUAUUAGAACAUUACCAACCCAACGUAUAAACGUUGCGUGGUGAAUCUAGAUAACUUUGCAGAUCGUAUGGCCUUGAGCUGACGACAUUUCGAUUGAAUUUCUGCCCUAUCAACUAUUGUCGGUAGUGUAGUGGACUACCGAGGUUUUUACGGGUAACGGGGGAUCAGGGUUCGAUUCCGGAGAGGGAGCCUGAGAAACGGCUACCACAUCCAAGGAAGGCAGCAGGCGCGAAAAUUACCCAAUCCAGACAAUGGGAGGUGGUGACGAAAAGUACCGAAUAACAGCCUUAAGGUUGUUAAUUUGGAAUGGAAUCAAUUUAAGCAAUUGAUUGAGAAACGACUGGAGGGCAAGUCUGGUGCCAGCAGCCGCGGUAAUUCCAGCUCCAGUAGCGUAUCUCAAAGUUGCUGCGCUUAAAACGCUCGUAGUUGGAUCACAAACUACGUAUUGGUGAAUAGUAAUUGCUGUGUUUAAAUUUGGAAUACAAAAGGUGUGUCAACACACUUUUUUUAUCUCUGAAUAAUGUGGCGUUAUUAUCAAAAGCUAAUACGUAGUAAUUGCACGUAAGGAUGAAUAUUGACCUUGAGUGAGUUGAUAUUUGUGUCUUGCGGAGUGUGCCUUGAGUAAAUCAGAGUGCUUAAAGCAGGCUUUACGCUUGAAUGUUAUAGCAUGGAACGAACAAUCGUGUAUUAUGUAUAUUGAAAGGUGCGUGUUAAUCGUCAAGAUUAACAUUCUAUCAGUAUACAACACCGACCACCGAUUACGGAUGUUGGUUCCGUAUUGGGGUAUAGAUUAAGAGGAGCGGUUGGGGGCAUUGGUAUUUAGCAGCGAGAGGUGAAAUUCUUAGACCUGCUAAGGACUAACAAAUGCGAAGGCAUUUGUCCAGACCGUAUCCAUUAAUCAAGAACGAUAGUGAGAGGUUCGAAGACGAUCAGAUACCGUCCUAGUUCUCACCGUAAACUAUGCCAACUCGGGAUUAGUUUGGAGCUAUUUAUAUGCUCGAAGUUGGUCCCCCUAGGAAACUUGAAGUUUUUCGGUUGCGGGGGGAGUAUGGUCGCAAGGCUGAAACUUAAAGGAAUUGACGGAAGGGCACCACCAGGGGUGGAGCCUGCGGCUUAAUUUGACUCAACACGGGAAAACUUACCUGGUCCGAACAUCCGUAGGAUACACAGACCGAUAGAUCUUUGUUGAUGGGGUGAAAAGUGGUGCAUGGCCGUUCCUAGUUCGUGGAGUGAUCUGUCAGGCCUAUCCCGGUAACGAACGAGACUACAUUCUUCACUUGACGAACCGAAGAAGAGAGUAUUAACACAUGUUUACUUUUCGGAGUAACGGUGUCGAUACCCUUGUAGGCAAUAUACGCUAUUUUUGUCAAAAUGUUUACAUUUUCUCAUGAAAGUGUUAAUAGAAUGAUAAAAUAAUGCGUAUAUAUCCCUUCGGUCUAGCAAUGCCGUUUCCUUUGGAAACUGUGUUGUAUCGUGAAGAGACAGCGGAACAUACUUUAAAAUCCGAGGAAGUGUAGCUAUAACAGGUCUGUGAUGCCCUAAGAUGUCCUGG